UUAAAUUAGGUAUCUUUAGAUUUAAUAGAGAAUUUGGUUAAGCCAAAGCGGUCACGCCACUGUAACAGUGAGGGACUUUGCAAAAGGACGCACAGCGUUCUUGGUCACUGAGAAAUUUUCUUGGGAAGACGCAAAGAAACGAUGAACUGAAGCCAGGAGAACUGCCUAAUUG
rnacentral:ncRNA from 1 species